CGCACAUUGCGCCCCUUGGUAUUCCGAGGGGCAUGCCUGUUCGAGCGUCAUUACAACACUCAAGCUCAGCUUGGUAUUGGGCCUCGCCGCUGACCCGGCGGGCCUUAAAAUCAGUGGCGGUGCCGACGUGGCCCUGAGCGUAGUAAAUCUCCUCGCUUUUGGACCCGGCGGUCGCUGGCCAGCAACCCCCAACUCUCUUAGUUUGACCUCGGAUCAGGUAGGGAUACCCGCUGAACUUAA
rnacentral:misc_RNA from 1 species